UACGUAGGGUGCGAGCGUUGUCCGGAAUUAUUGGGCGUAAAGAGCUCGUAGGCGGUGUGUCACGUCGGCCGUGAAAACCUGGGGCUCAACUCUGGGCGUGCGGUCGAUACGGGCAUCACUAGAGUUCGGCAGGGGAGACUGGAAUUCCUGGUGUAGCGGUGAAACGCGCAGAUAUCAGGAGGAACACCGGUGGCGAAGGCGGGUCUCUGGGCCGAUACUGACGCUGAGGAGCGAAAGCAUGGGUAGCGAACAGG
rnacentral:rRNA from 1 species